rnacentral:rRNA from 1 species
UACAGAGGUCCAUCAGCUGUUCGGUGAUUCAUUGGGCGUAAAGGGUGCGUAGGUGGCGCCGUAAGUCGGGUGUGAAAUUUCGGAGCUUAACUCCGAAACUGCAUUCGAUACUGCGGUGCUUGAGGACUGGAAGAGGAUCGUAGUAUUCGUGGUAGCAGUGAAAUGCGUAGAGAUCAUGAGGAAGACCAGUGGCGAAGGCGGGUCUCUGGACAGUUCCUGACACUGAGGCACGAAGGCCAGGGGAGCAAACGGG